rnacentral:rRNA from 1 species
CCUACGGGGUGCAGCAGUCGAGAAUCAUUCACAAUGGGGGAAACCCUGAUGGUGCGACGCCGCGUGGGGGAAUGAAGGUCUUCGGAUUGUAAACCCCUGUCAUGUGGGAGCAAAUUAAAAAGAUAGUACCACAAGAGGAAGAGACGGCUUACUCGGUGCCAGCAGCCGCGGUAAUACCGAGGUCUCAAUCGUUGUUCGGAAUCACUUGGCGUAAAGCGUGCGUAGGCUGUUUCGUAAGUCGGGUGUGAAAGGCGCGGGCUCAACCCGCGGACGGCACAUGAUACUGCGAGACUAGAGUAAAGGAGAGGGAACCGGAAUUCUCGGUGUAGCAGUGAAAUGCGUAGAUAUCGAGAGGAACACUCGUGGCGAAGGCGGGUUCCUGGACAUUAACUGACGCUGAGGCACGAAGGCCAGGGGAGCGAAAGGGAUUAGAUACCCCAGUAGUC